UCCGUUAUGGUCUAGGUAAGCUCAAUUCACUCGCCUACCAAACAACUCCAAUUAACAAGAAAAAGUGGCUAGGAUACAUCGCUCUCAUUAGCAAGCGCCGAUGUGGCCGGGGUUCGAUUCCCCGUGACGGAA